UAAGCGGAGGAAAAGAAACUAACAAGGAUUCCCCUAGUAACGGCGAGUGAAGCGGGAAGAGCUCAAAUUUGAAAUCUAGUAGCCUUCGGCUGCUCGAGUUGUAAUCUAGAGAAGUGUUUUCCGUGCCGGCCCAUGUACAAGUCCCUUGGAACAGGGCGUCAUAGAGGGUGAGAAUCCCGUCCUUGACAUGGACCCCCGGUGCUCUGUGAUACACUUUCAACGAGUCGAGUUGUUUGGGAAUGCAGCUCAAAAUGGGUGGUGAAUUCCAUCUAAAGCUAAAUAUUGGCGAGAGACCGAUAGCGAACAAGUACCGUGAGGGAAAGAUGAAAAGCACUUUGGAAAGAGAGUUAAACAGUACGUGAAAUUGUUGAAAGGGAAACGAUUGAAGUCAGUCAUGCUCUUUGGUAUUUAUAUCAUUGAGUGGGGUCAACAUCAGUUUUGAGCGAUGGAUAAAGGCACUAGGAAGGUAGCACUCUCGGGUGAACUUAUAGCCUAGCGUCAUAUACAUUGUUUGGGACUGAGGAACGCAGCAUGCCUUUAUGGCCGGGAUUCGUCCACGUACAUGCUUAGGAUGUUGACAUAAUGGCUUUAAACGACCCGUCUUGAAACACGG
rnacentral:rRNA from 1 species